UCUUAGUCAGUAAGGCUUCUCUUCAAACUUGGCACAAGAGGUUAGGACAUCCUCAUUCUACUGUGCUUAAGACUAUUGUAACUAGUAAUAAACUUCCUAGAGGUGUAGUGGAUACAGAUGAAGAAGGGGUAAAAGGAAGCCUGGUAGCUUUACCAAGAAUACAAUCAGUACAGUGGGGCUUAGAAAAGCUAGUAGAUAUUGAGUGCUGUAGUUUUUUAAGUUUGAUUUCUUAUGAUACCUUUCAUUGAAGAUCUUUCAGAUCUGUUCCCAUCCAGAAAAAUAGGAUAACAAAUAGAGAAAUUAGUUUUUGAAAAAGAAAAAUCAAAAGAGAGGAGAUGAGAGAAGAGAGAAGAGGAGAGAGAGCAGAGAUGAUGUAAAGUGGAUGAGGGAGACGACGAAGAGGAGAUGAAGCGAAGGAGACAACGUGAGGGAGACUUCACGUUCAGCAAGAGGAGAUGACGUGAGGUUGUCUUCGAAACCCAUGCCUCGACGUGGGUUUUGAUAUCCAGUGUAUGUUGGAUUCAUAUCCUAAACAAAAAUUGAAGUCCUAGCUAGUGUGUGAUACAAUUAAGCCCGCCAAACAACAGACUGGACCCAUGUCCAUUUUAAUUGAAAAAGUCCUAUCUAGUCCAACCAACCAAAUAGGGCCUAAGGGUGUAACCACAUGGUACUAAACUAUAGUUAACCGGGAGCUAUAGUUUUAAAACACAAUAUAGUUUACUAAU
rnacentral:lncRNA from 1 species